UUCAAACGUGUGUGAAAAAUUUUUGAGAAAAUACGUGAAGAUUUAAUUAAUUAUUUUAAUUUUGUUUGAUGUGACCUUCUGCACUUAGACAACUCCUGAUGAGUUUGCAGGGUGGAUUAUUGCAAUAUGUUUCCCGUAAGAUGCAACGUUUUUCCGACGAACAUUGGAAGCCGGCGCAGGAAGCUGGGCCUUCGUGAUACUCCUUCUCCAAUACGCAGCGCGCCAAUUGUUGCUUGCACUCUAAGAAGAUUUUAAAAAUCAAUAUAUUAUCUGACUUUCCAAAAAAUAUAAAUAUAAUAAGCCCGUUAAUAUGUAUCAAUUACUCCCAUCCCAAUUACAUCCUUGAACUUUAAUGAUACAUAUGUGUCCCGUGUUGCAACGAACGGUGUCGCAUGUUGGAGGUCCCUUUAAUGAUUCUAAAAAUAAGUAAAUUUGCAUCAAAUUUGCAUAAAUAGAAUAAAGCUUAAAAUAAUGUAAUUAGUUUAAGUAGUUUCAAUUUAAUUUAACAUAAAAUAAUUUCAAUUAAUUAAAUGUAAAAAAAGAUACCGUAAAAUACAAAUCGCAAGAUAUUGUAGUGUUAAAUAGAAAAAAUGUAUCUGAAAGGAUUUAUAGACACGUUUUCCUUGAACUUUACCUUUUCUCGACCUAGAGCAAUACAACAUGCCGGGACAAGGUGGAUCCUUGCACCAAAAUCGCCGUUUUACGCAUCGACUGCCGUUCUCGCAACGUAAAUUAGCGCAUCCUCUCGAAUAAUCAUUUCCCGAUUCUUCUGACGCAAUUAUAGUGAUUUUUUUUUGGGGGGGGGGAGAAAUAUCAAAGUGUGUGAAAUUUCACGCAAUUUAAGAUUUAAACUUACCACUCGCGAAAAGCGUUUCGGCAAGCAGGAAGAAAAAAAGCCACGUUAAAUUACAGAUAAAAAUGUAUUCGCGUCGCAUGGCGACAGCACCGAUAGCACUCGCUUAUAUCAAUUGCACGGUGCACCUGUGCCGAUACAGCUAUAGACGUAAUAGACGUGUAAUAUAAGCGCGAUUGUAACGAGAGAGCCUCUGCGUGGAAAAGCGUAUUGUCAAUACAGCAGUUGUCGCUAACGUUACGCCUCGUUGAACGCUAUUGCCACGCUAUGCUCAUCAAAGGAGAGACGUCACUUAAAACACUUGCAGCAGUCCGGCGAGCGCGCUGGUGAAACCAGCGUUGUAGUCCAGCGUUACUUCCGUGUAAGCGUACUCCUCGCGACAAUCUUUAAACAAAUCUACUUCAUCCGGGCCGGAGACUAAAGCACCGUAGAGGAUCUGCGGAUUCGGCGCGUUUUUGCUGAAUUCCUGCCACCCGCAUGACGCUGGUCUAUCGGGGCAGGAGGACGCUGCAUGGUGCGGCUGUUUCGGUGAAUUUUUGUCGUACCCGACCACGUAAUUCCUUCCUGAAAAAGUACGCACAAAUUCACAUGAAUUCACAAACAAAAAUGGAAAAGGAAGAAAAAAUAAACGUCUAUUCAGAAUUCGUGAAAAACGAUAUUUUUAACUUGGGUCCUACCUGCUCCGCCCAGCAUGUAGUCGAUUUGUUCCUUGGCGAAUUGGCGGUACUCCUGCGAGUCGCCGAUCUCCGGGGUGUCCGCCGCUACCAGGCAGAUGAAAGCAACAUUAGCAGCGUGAGAAAGAGUACCGAAUUUAUCAAUGAACAGAAGACCCUUCGGUGUGCGUUUCUGCUGCCGCACCGAGAAGUCGCAGAACGCGCGGGUGGCAUUCUGAUACUCGGACUGUCCCGUCAGUUCGGCCAGCAGCACCUGCGAUAAGCAAAAAGAAAUGUUUCCAAGCCAAUUCCAGCUGAAGAUACCAGAAGAAACAAAGGACGCAUUUAGCAGAACAGGUCGCUUAGUAGCAAUUGAACGAAAUGAUUGGCUAUUACUUUUAAGAUCAAUAAAUCAACGUCGAAAUUCAAUAGAAAAUCUAAUAAUAUUGCCUAACUGUUGAGUCUGCUAAAUGCGGCUAAUGACAUAACACGCUGCUUAGCGAGUUAUUUACAACUUUCCUCGCGGUCGAGAAACUCCGUUAUUCAGUUCAACGCCGAAUUCGUCGAAGAAUAGUGACAACUUUUCCACACGGACAAAUUACAAGAACGCGUUCGGUCGUUCCUUGAGGUGAAAGUGCUGAUAAUGAUGUACCGCGUCGUCAAAGUACCUCGUAUCAUCGGUUGCCUUGAAGAGCCAUAUCGCGGCCCAUGCCAGCUCGUCGCCGUAAUCCGUGCUCUCGU